AACGAGGCCGACCUGCGGCUGAGUUACCUGCGGAAGGAUCAUUAUCGAGUUAGGGUCGUUCUGGCCCGAACUUCCAACCCUUGUUUAUCACACCAUGUUGCUUUGGUAGGCCCGCCCCUCCUUGGGGGGCCGCCGGAGGUUAUCUUACCUCUGGCCCGUGCCUGCCAGUAGCCUUAUUAAAUUCUUUUUUAACUGUGUCGUCUGAGUGGCCUUUUAAAUCGUUAAAAACUUUCAGCAAUG
rnacentral:misc_RNA from 1 species